rnacentral:sRNA from 1 species
GAAAUAGUAUGUAAAUGUUUAGUAAUACCUUUGGGGAUUAAUGUUACACACUCGGUUCUAUUAUAAUUCCUCGGAGAUAAGAACUAAGACUAACUGUUCUACAUCUUGUUAACUUUACAAUGACAUCUGGUGGUGCAUUGCUGUCGGCUAUAGUUCUGUGCAUUCUCCCGGUCUUAGAAGCCUACACGUGCGAUGAAAUCUUCAGUAAAGCCACAACACUCGAUUUUUCGCAAAGUGGAGCUGAAAUAAAUGUGAAAUGCCGAUUAAAUUUGAAACACAUAGAGCCGCACGUUCUUGCGCCGUACCUGGACAUUUUACGGACCACAUCUCUCGUGGCUUGUUUCUACUCUGUAUACGACGUUAGUCAUCAUAAUGAAUACUUCAAUCAGGAAUCACACGUCAUCGCUAUCUGUAAACCUGGAGCGAUGUGCCUUAACAGACUUCAUAACGAGGCGUAUGAGAGAGGAUGCGUUGAUGGACCCACCAACCAGCACCAAGCAGCAUGUACUGGAGACUUCUGUAACAAUCGAACCCAAACAGAGUUGGAUUUGGUAAAUAACAUACUCUCAACUUUAACGAAGACCACGUCAUCAUCUGGGUCGACAACUAGCACAGUUCCCAUGGCAACCACACCAGUGCGUCAACUUUACACAGAUUCAAUGACCUGCGAAGACAUCUUCAGAAAAGCGUCAGUGUUAGAUUUCUCGCAGAGCAACGCCGAGAUAAAGGCAGCCUGUCGGUUAAAUUUGCAGCACAUCGAACCACAUAUUCUUGCGCCGUACCUGGACAUUUUACGGACCACAUCUCUCGUGGCUUGUUUCUACUCUGUGUACGACGUUAGUCAUCAUAAUGAGUACUUCAAUCAGGAAUCACACGUCAUCGCUAUCUGUAAACCUGGAGCGGGGUUGUGUAGCUGGACAUACAAAUCAGCAUCAAUCCACCUGUUCCACAGACUUCUGCAACAACAGAACCCAAACAGAAAUGGAUUUGAUUGGGAAUAUCUUAUCACUUAUUACAACUACCACAAUAAAAACCACACCCACUUCAACCACCACACCAUCCACGACAACUACUUCAACCACCACACCAUCCCCGACAACCACUUCAACCACCAAACCAUCCCCGACAACCACUUCAACUACCACACCAUCCCAGACAACCACUUCAACCACCACACCAUCCCCGACAACCACUUCAACCACCACACCAUCCCCGACAACCACUUCAACCACCACAACAUCCCAGACAACCACUUCUACAACUAAACCAUCCUCGACAACCACUAAACCCUCCACAACUUCACCACCAAUUACUUCGAAUCCAUUAACCACCUCUACCACUAUACCAUCGACAAAUACUACAUCCCCGACACCUACUACUUCUACCACUACCUCUCCAUCAACUACUUCAAAUCCAUCAACCGCUUCUACCACUAUACCAUCCACAACUACAUCAUCCCCAACAACUAAUACUUCUACUACAACCUCACCAUCAACCACUACAUCAACCACUGUUAAACCAUCAACCACACCCCCCUCGACAACCACUUCAUCACCUAUUACAUCUACAACGACUAGUGCGCCUACCAAUUCAACGACAAAGUCUUCAACAUCCUCAAAGACGACAACAUCAAAACCAAUGACGACAACAUCAAAACCGAUGACGACGACGACGACAUCAAAACCGAUGACAUCGACUAAACCAUCGGUGACCACAACAGCAUCUAGCUCUACAAUUUGCUCUAACAGCCCCCAGCACCAGUGUCGUAGUGAAGGGUUCUGUGCCGUCUAUCACGCCAACACUGGAGCGUGCAACAAGCCUAUAGACGGCAAUAGCAGGGACUUCUUCCACAGUUGUGCACUUUUCUGCAACAGGUGUCAGGAAUACUGUCAGUCGUUUUCCGUGAAACCCCAAACUACGGCAGCUCCCCGGAACUGUCAUCAGUGUGGGGACCUGGCCUCCUCCAGCCCUUGCUCCACCCUGCAGGUGUACACCGCACCCUCGACCCCCUGUCCCGCGGGUCUGGACUUCUGCAUGACCGAUAUACACCAUGACACAUCAGGAAAUGAUCACAUAUACAAAAGGUGCGUGAACAGACAGACGUGUGAGACGGACUGGCUAGCCCAGACGUCAGACCAGGACCACUGCACGCGCUUCGGUCAGGUACUGACCAGUGGGGAGUUCAGCUGUCACUUUUGCUGCAGGGGGGACGGGUGCAACACGAGGCUGGUCCCCGACCACAGUACCUUCUACACCAAAACCUAACCUAACCUCUCUAUGCUACAGUCUACCUCACACCAUGGCCAAUUUAAUACAUCAGUGUAUAUUGUGUAUCAGUGUUAUCUAUACAUCAUCUACGAAUUAUAUGCCUCUUCGGGUUAUUUUCUUACAAUGUGUAUCUAUCCCUAUCAAGUC